rnacentral:rRNA from 1 species
AAAUUGAAGAGUUUGAUCAUGGCUCAGAUUGAACGCUGGCGGCAGGCCUAACACAUGCAAGUCGAGCGGCAGCGGGAAGUAGUUUACUACUUUGCCGGCGAGCGGCGGACGGGUGAGUAAUGUCUGGGAAACUGCCUGAUGGAGGGGGAUAACUACUGGAAACGGUAGCUAAUACCGCAUAACGUCUUCGGACCAAAGUGGGGGACCUUCGGGCCUCACGCCAUCGGAUGUGCCCAGAUGGGAUUAGCUAGUAGGUGGGGUAAUGGCUCACCUAGGCGACGAUCCCUAGCUGGUCUGAGAGGAUGACCAGCCACACUGGAACUGAGACACGGUCCAGACUCCUACGGGAGGCAGCAGUGGGGAAUAUUGCACAAUGGGCGCAAGCCUGAUGCAGCCAUGCCGCGUGUGUGAAGAAGGCCUUCGGGUUGUAAAGCACUUUCAGCGAGGAGGAAGGCAUAAAGGUUAAUAACCUUUGUGAUUGACGUUACUCGCAGAAGAAGCACCGGCUAACUCCGUGCCAGCAGCCGCGGUAAUACGGAGGGUGCAAGCGUUAAUCGGAAUUACUGGGCGUAAAGCGCACGCAGGCGGUUUGUUAAGUCAGAUGUGAAAUCCCCGCGCUUAACGUGGGAACUGCAUUUGAAACUGGCAAG